AAUUUCAUAAGUUAAAAUAGAAGCAUUUAUUUAUUUUGAUGAUUUAUUCUCAUUUCAAUGUUUUCAUGUAUAUUUUCAUUCAAAAUCAUCACUUUUCCAUAAUAUUUCCUUUUGUCAGUUCUAUCAUCUUUCGUUAUGACAUAAUUAAUUGAUAUAUCUCAUUAUAUUCAUUAUUUCAAGUACUUGAAUCAUUUUUGAGGUUCUAUCAAAAGCCAUGCAUUGGGUCUCUUCAUGAGUACCCGCC
rnacentral:lncRNA from 1 species